CUAUGGACAGCCUCUCCUGCAUCCAGAUGUUGAACAGGGGUGGUUCAGUCUAGGUUGUGCUAAAUAAAUAGGGAGAGCCUGACCACCAUACUACAUAAAGCGGGGGUGCUCUGACCUCAGGCAGAAGAGACUUUUUAUGAGCACGUUGGACGUGUGAAUGGGCUGCCAACAGAUGAAGUAAAAAUACUUCCAUCACUCUCCCUACCACCUCCAAGAAGCAGAUGAAAAUACUUGCAGGCCAGGGCUGAAAUCUACA
rnacentral:lncRNA from 1 species